AAUAAAGAUUUAUCGGUAAAAGAUGGGCAUGCGUAUCAUUAGCUAGUUGGUGUGGUAACGGCAUACCAAGGCUACGAUGAUUAGGGGUCCUGAGAGGGAGAUCCCCCACACUGGUACUGAGACACGGACCAGACUCCUACGGGAGGCAGCAGUGAGGAAUAUUGGUCAAUGGAGGCAACUCUGAACCAGCCAUGCCGCGUGCAGGAUGACGGUCCUAUGGAUUGUAAACUGCUUUUGUACGGGAAGAAAUGUAAUUACGUGUAAUUAUUUGACGGUACCGUAAGAAUAAGGAUCGGCUAACUCCGUGCCAGCAGCCGCGGUAAUACGGAGGAUCCGAGCGUUAUCCGGAAUUAUUGGGUUUAAAGGGUUCGUAGGCGGUUUAGUAAGUCAGUGGUGAAAUCUUGCAGCUUAACUGUAAAAUUGCCGUUGAUACUGCUAAACUUGAAUAGUAUGGAAGUAAUUAGAAUAUGUAGUGUAGCGGUGAAAUGCUUAGAUAUUACAUGGAAUACCAAUUGCGAAGGCAGAUUACUACGUACUUAUUGACGCUGAUGAACGAAAGCGUGGGUAGCGAACAGGAUUAGAUACCCUGGUAGUCCACGCCGUAAACGAUGGAUACUAGCUGUUCGGUCUUCGGAUUGAGUGGCUAAGCGAAAGUGAUAAGUAUCCCACCUGGGGAGUACGUUCGCAAGAAUGAAACUCAAAGGAAUUGACGGGGGCCCGCACAAGCGGUGGAGCAUGUGGUUUAAUUCGAUGAUACGCGAGGAACCUUACCAAGGCUUAAAUGUAGAUUGACAGGUUUAGAGAUAGACUUUCCUUCGGGCAAUUUACAAGGUGCUGCAUGGUUGUCGUCAGCUCGUGCCGUGAGGUGUCAGGUUAAGUCCUAUAACGAGCGCAACCCCUAUUGUUAGUUGCCAGCGGGUGAUGCCGGGAACUCUAACAAGACUGCCGGUGCAAACCGUGAGGAAGGUGGGGAUGACGUCAAAUCAUCACGGCCCUUACGUCUUGGGCUACACACGUGCUACAAUGGCCAGUACAGAAAGCAGCUACCAGGCAACUGGAUGCGAAUCUCAAAAGCUGGUCUCAGUUCGGAUUGGAGUCUGCAACUCGACUCUAUGAAGCUGGAAUCGCUAGUAAUCGGAUAUCAGCCAUGAUCCGGUGAAUACGUUCCCGGGCCUUGUACACACCGCCCGUCAAGCCAUGGAAGCUGGGGGUACCUGAAGUC
rnacentral:rRNA from 1 species